UUAACUUCAUUAGAAAAUUGUGUUAUUACUCCUGUCUUUACUUUUCGUGUGGCCGCUCAGACAGAACGUGUUUCAGCUGGCGGCUCUCAUGGACUCAGAGCUUCACCGUCUGGGUUUUUUAUAGUUUGGACGAAGCGGCCGCUGAAGUUGGCUUACGAUUGAAGGUUCAGGACGCCUUCGUAGCUACCAGCUGUGGUCCAACUAUAAGGAGCAGACUUUACUGUACAUCGUAAGUGAACUGCAAUAUCCAGAGGCAGCUCUAUGGAGCAUCGAAGAAAGAGUUGUUUUUGUUGAGCUGAGAGAAUGAGAGUGGCAAGCCUUGGAGAUCUGCAUCGGAGGCCAUCUUUCAGACAUGCACCGCUGCUGUCCGUCCAGGAUCCUCCGGUUGCCCAGACGAUGUUAAGCUGUCACAGCAGAUCAUCCUGCAGACCUCUGGUCUCAGUGUUUCCCUUCAGACUCCCAGUGGGCUCACAGCUUCAGGGUGACCAGAGACCUUCACCUUUCUGGAGCAGGAACACCCGGCCAAAUGCACUGGUGACACAUUUAAUU